rnacentral:rRNA from 1 species
CUGACCUCAAAUCAGGUAGGACUACCCGCUGAACUUAAGCAUAUCAAUAAGCGGAGGAAAAGAAACUAACAAGGAUUCCCCUAGUAACUGCGAGUGAAGCGGGAAAAGCUCAAAUUUAAAAUCUGGCGGUUUCACCGUCCGAGUUGUAAUCUGGAGAAGCGUUUUCCGUGUCGGACCGUGCACAAGUCUCUUGGAACAGAGCGUCAUAGAGGGUGAGAAUCCCGUUUUAUGGCACGGACACCCGAUACUUUGUGAUACGUUUUCUAAGAGUCGAGUUGUUUGGGAAUGCAGCUCAAAAUGGGUGGUAAAUUCCAUCUAAAGCUAAAUAUAGGCGAGAGACCGAUAGCGAACAAGUACCGUGAGGGAAAGAUGAAAAGCACUUUGGAAAGAGAGUUAAACAGUACGUGAAAUUGUUGAAAGGGAAACGCUUGAAGUCAGUCGCGUCUUCUAGGACUCAGCCUUACUUCGGUUAGGUGUACUUCCUGGUUUGACGGGUCAACAUCGAUUUUGAUCGACGGAUAAAGGAGAAGGGAAUGUGGCACCUCCGGGUGUGUUAUAGCCCUCUUCGUAUACGUCGAUUGGGAUCGAGGACUGCAGCACGCCCUUGUGGCCGGGGGUUCGCCCUACGUAUCGUGCUUAGGAUGUUGACAUAAUGGCUUUAAGCGACCCGUCUUGAAACACGGACCAAGGAGUCUAACAUGCUCGCGAGUGUUAGGGUGGAAAACCCUUGCGCGUAAUGAAAGUGAAAGUUGGGACCUCUGCAAGGAGGGCACCGACGCCCGGCCCUGAAGUUCUCUGACGGUGCUGCGGUAGAGCGCGUAUGUUGGGACCCGAAAGAUGGUGAACUAUGCCUGAAUAGGGCGAACCAGAGGAAACUCUGGUGGAGGCUCGUAGCGAUUCUGACGUGCAAAUCGAUCGUCAAAUUUGG